GAUGAACGCUAGCGGCAGGCCUAAUACAUGCAAGUCGAACGGAAUAUAGUUUUCGGAUUAUAUUUAGUGGCGCACGGGUGAGUAACACGUACAUAACUUACCCUCAAGAGGGGGAUAGCCUUGGGAAACUGAGCGUAAUACCCCAUAGUAUUAUUGAACGGCAUCGUUUGAUAAUUAAAGCUACGGCGCUUGAGGAUAGAUGUGCGUCUGAUUAGCUAGUUGGUAAGGUAACGGCUUACCAAGGCGACGAUCAGUAGGGGGCGUGAGAGCGUGGCCCCCCCACACGGGUACUGAGACACGGACCCGACUCCUACGGGAGGCAGCAGUAAGGAAUAUUGGUCAAUGCCCGGAAGGGUGAACCAGCCAUGCCGCGUGAAGGAUGACUGCCCUCUGGGUUGUAAACUUCUUUUGGAUGGGACGAAAAAACGGGAUUUAUCCUGGACUGACGGUACCAUCAGAAUAAGCACCGGCUAACUCCGUG
rnacentral:rRNA from 1 species